CCUCCCAAAGUGCUAGGAUUACAGGCGUGAGCCACAGUGCCCGGCCAAGAAUGUGCAUUUCUAACCAGUUCCUAGGUCAUGCCGACGCCCGUGCUGCUGACCUGCGGACCACACAUUGAGAACUACUGGCUUCAGGCUGUUUCCUAUGCCUGGAACGCCUUUUAAAUUGCAGCUGUUUUGCAAAGAUCAGCUCAAAUGCAACCUCAAUGAUGCUUUAUGAACUGGGCACCUGCUAUAUACCAGACACUGUAAAGGCAUUGAGGAUACAAUUUGGUGGACGAAACAGACACAUUGUCAUUCCUUGUGAAGCUUUCAGUCUAGUGGGGACAUGGACAAUGAACAAUUAAAAAAUAUAAGUACAAAUUGUGAUGGGUAUGAUAAAGGACAUCAUGAGAAAAUUAAAAGUGGAGUCUACUCAAGUUGGGGAGGUUAGGAAAAGCGUCUCUAAGGAGAGACAUUUAAGCUGAGAUCACGAUAAGAGAAAGUCAUCCUGGAAAGAACAAGGAAAAGAUUCUUUCAGGCAGAGGGAAGAAUUGUGCAAAAGCCUUGGAGUAGGAAAGAGUGUGUUGCAUUUGAGGGGUGAAGAAAGGCCAGUGUGGUUGGAGCAAAGGAAGAGGACAUGAUACAAGGUGAGUAUGGUGAUGUAGGUAGAGGAUAGGUCACAGAUUACAUUGUUGGCCCCAACUCUUAACCCCUCCCUGCAUUCACAGCCUUGCCUCAGUGUCAUUAUGGGUAUAGAUACACACAUUGGCCUUGGCCACAGGAUUUACCUUGGCCAACUGACAUUCCUAUAGAAGUUCCAGCCUAGGCCUUGAGAAGAUUUAUAUAUUUUAAAUUGCUAUCUUGUUUCUGCCAGCAUCACCAGCAAAAAAUGUCAAGGCUAAUGUGCUGGUCCAAAGCAUGCAGAACGGUUGUUAGCCUAAAUCAGCUGAUCCAGCUGACAGAUGGACAAGCGAUAAUAUGUUACUGUUGUUGUUAGCCCACUGUGUUUUGGAAUGGCUUGUUUUGGGGUUGUUUUGUUACACAAUAGUAGCUGACUAAGACUAACAACAAUGAGAAAUUUAAGCUUUAUUCUAAGUACAACGGGAUGUCAUUGAAAGUGUUUAACUAGAAGAGUGACAUGAUCUGAUUUUGAUUGCAAAUUAUCUCUCUCUGGCUGCUGUGAGGAGGGUAAGGUGUAUGGGGGAGGCAAGAGACCACCCUAAGCCAUGUGUCCAGACUCGGAGCCCAGCACAGCACCUGGCAUAGUAGAGGUGCUCAGGAGCUGUUGUUCAGCCCUCCGUAGCUGGAAUGAACCCACCCUUCCCUGUAUCCCCCAGUACUCUCUUUGGUCCCUCUUACCUGUGACUUGGUGGUAACAGUGCUCAUUAUACUCCUAUUACUAGAUUUGGGAUUCUUGAGGGUAGAGACCUAGGUCCUUCUAUAUAUCUCCUGGGCCCCUGUAUUCUGUGUAGGCUCAGCUCGGAGCAGAAGUCAAUAACCACACUGAAAUUAAUUAAUAUAAAGGGUUUCUCUACAGCUGCUACAAGUUGGAUUUUCACUUCAGUGGUCUCUAACGGAUCCAGACACUUAAGUGACUUCUACCAGGUCAUGGGGUGGCUUCCUUUAAAACCUCAUCAGCAAAGAGGCACCGCUUGAGUGGUUCCCCUUUAGUCCUAAGAUGCAUGGAAGCAGAUAUUGCAGAGAGAGCUCUGAGGCACGGAGCAACUCCUCUAUGAAGGCUUGAAAAACUGGGCAGGAAAGCCAGCUGGAGCCUAUUUACAAACCUUUCUUAAAAAACUAACAAACAUGAGUAAACUCCCUGUGGCAGGAACACCUGUUCUGUGGGGACGUUUCCUAACAUUUUACUUCAAAAUCUCUGGAAAGCAAAAGCAGCCUGUACAUACACUCUCAAACUUAAAUAAGCAAAUCUACUUUUUUUGGACGAAUUUUGACUACCCUGGUUCUCACACUAUUUACCCAUGAGGCCCAGAGUAUUUAACAAAAAAAAUUUUAUGACUUACACUAGGAUUAUAUCCCCAAAGAGCAGGCCAAAAAUGGGGAUAGACUGGAUCCUUCUAUCCCUGGGAAUUUUACAGAAAGACAAAAGCUCUUUUGUCUUGUAUUAGUUGGUCUGGCUCAAAGGCAGAAACAUCCCCCAGAUAGCCUCUGUUGAGCUGCCUGUUUCAGGAAAUGAGCUUUAACUAGUUCAGUAGUUCAACCCAGUGCUUCAGAAUUUGCUGAGUGUCUAAUAUGCACCCCUUCCCUGGCUAGGCAGUGAUAGGUGGCAAAGAUGCCUAAAUGCCAUUUUGGCCUCAUCAGUUUAAGCUUGGUGAGGCAAUACAUUCAUUUUUAGAGGAAUUAUUUAGAGUCAGUUUCUCUGACUAGGUUGAGCAGGGGCUGGGUGUGUUUUUUCUACAGCAUGGCAUUUCCAAUGCCUAAUACAAUGUCUGGCAGCACUUAGUAGGUGCUCACUAAAAUUUGUUUUAUAAUCAAGGUAUAAUCUACAUAUGGUGAAAUGGACAGAUCUUAUGGGUACAUUCCUGAUGACUUUUGGCAGAUGUGCAGCCAACACCCUAAUCAAGAUCUACAGCAGCACUGUCCCACUGAAAUAUAAUGUGAGCCACACAGCAUCGCAUUAACCAGCAGCUGCAUUUACCUGGACCGUACAUCAGCCCGAGCCUCUCUCCAGUGAAGAGGUGGGUCGUGCCAGGGGGACCAUUCAUCACACCCGCCCAGCUGCUGGAGGCUCUCCUGGACUUUGGUGUCUUAGGCCAGAGCUGUCACAAUCAUCCCACAUUUACCUUGUCCCUGUGAGGGGAGGGAGUUCCAAGUACUCUCUGGCCUUGAGAAACGGCCCCUGAUAUUCCCUUGCUUCAGCUAUGACAUCUCUGUAGCAUCACAAUCUAUGCAACUUGGAUAGAGAGAGGCUUUGGGUCACACCAUCAAAUCUGAUUGAAAUUCAUCUUUAAUCAGUCAUAUUGCUGUUGUAUCUGGAGCUGACCUGGAAGCCUGAGUACACGUGGUCUUAUUUACUUCUGACACCAACCCAGCUACCCCCAUUUCAGGGAUUACAAAAUGGAGCACUGACUUGCUCAGGGUUACUUAUGCUGCAGAAAAGAGGGAGACCCAGGGUCCGAACUUGGAUCUCCUGACUCCAACUCCAAUGCUCAUGCCACAAAGCCAGCUGCCUCAGUGAGCUGCUUCCUGGCUGGAUGCCUGGUUUCUCAGGGUACCGGCUUGCUUUGAAUGUCCUGUCUCCCUUUGCCUCCCUAGAGGGUGGCUUAUUUCUUUAAGCUCAAGAAGAGAAAAAAUAAAAAAGGAGAUGGUGAAAUAAAUUUAUUGCCAUGUUAGAAACAUUGGAUUGAAGAAUUGGUCCCUACGGCUAAGUAAUUUCCCUCUUUCGUGCAAAAUAUAAAUAAAUCUGUAUGGCUUACGCUGA